CCCGCGCCGCCCACGCAGGAGAAGACGCCCACGAGGUCGGAGGGCUGGGAGAAGCCGCGCAGCGAGAUCUGAUGCGAGCCGUUGCGGGCCAGACUCGCUAAAGGACCUCCAAGGGAAAAAGGGAACAUCUUCCCACCUCUUCAGAUGGCAACCAUGGAGGGACUUUAACUGCCGGACGUUGCUUACUCCAGGACUGAGAGAUCUGGAGCUGAGAGAUCCCGGGACUUCUGACCAAAUAUCUGGCAGAAGAUAGCACAAAAGGACCGGAACCAGUCUUCGUUACCACUGAUGGGAGCACCUGGUGGGCUAAAUUUGGAAGAUGGGUGAACGACAGGUAUGGUAUCCAUACCAGAAAAAUGUCAUUCUGCCUUUCCUUCUGGUGAGAUUUUUGGCACCAGAAAAACCUGUAUGGAAGCUCAAGGACUAUCCCUUGCCCAGUUAAAGACAAUCUCUAACCUGUCAGCUGCUAAUCUGAUUCUUGUCUCCACUGCCACCGGCUCAGCUUUUAAUAUGUGAAACUUCCAAGGAAGUUUCAGAAAAUGAAACUGAAGGGGUUCAGAACAAGUCUCCCCAAAAUAUGCCACUUUGGCAUGAAGACUGUUUUGAGCUAAAAGCAAUAAAAAUCCAUCUGAUUCAGGAAAAGCUCUUUACCUCCCCCCCUUAGCUGCCUACAUUUGACAUGGGAAAGGGGGCAUGGACCUGCAAGAGCUAUUACCAGAGAUUUCUUUUUACCUAAGAGUCUUAUCUGCAUAACAGGGCAACCUUUGCUUUCCAAACAUCUCCUCUGCCUUCCUGCCAACAACCCUCCUCCCCUUGGAUCCCUGGACCCCUACCCCUUCCUUAGCUCAGGACAUUGUAUGAGCUUCAGUUGUCUUGCUUCCCUUUGGACUUGAUAUUUAAUGGGGCCUCUACAGAUAAGUAAUUAACUUUGUUUUUCUCCUUUUAAUCUGUCUUAUGUCAGUUUAAUUAUUAGACCAGCUAAGAGACCUCCAAAGGAAGAAGGGACUAUUUUUCUUCCCCUACAGGAAAGACACAGGAAAACUGAGUAACUCUCCGAAAUGACUGAAGCCAUCACCUUAAUAUUCAGCUAAAGACAAAAGAUGAUGCUGGGGAUGAGGUGUUAUGAGAGGUCACCAGGAAAAGCACAUACACAAGGGUAAGGCUGAUAUGCAGAUUUAAGUCCCUGCCUUCUUCACUGAUAAGAGCUUCUAGUGAUUGAGCCCGCUCCUCCUGGUAGAGCAAGGGAGACGCCCUUACAAACGGAGAUUUCCCUUAUUAAUAUAAAUGUCUCUUAGAAAAGGGUAAUUUCUCAGUUUUCAGAAUUUCAUCUUUGUCUGUUGCAUUAAAAAAAAUAGUCAAUAUGCCAAAGAGAUAUUUUGGGGUGGUGUAUUCUGCUCCCAUCAUGGGAAAACUGAGGCCUGCCGUGCUGAGGACACUUUGAAGUUGCAGCAAGGCUGGGACCUGAACCUCUGAAGUAAUUACUCCUGGAAGACACACAUUAAACAGACCCAGGGGAGCAGCAGGAAUAAACCCAUGCCCGUCCCUCGGUCCUGGGCAACAGAAGACUGCGCAGGGAGUGGACUCACUCCUGAGGGGGCUGACACCAACCUGGGGGCGGUCCCAGGCUCUUGGCAAAGCCUUCAAGGUUUCAAAGAUCCCAGGACCUGCCCCCGCUGUGUGUUCUCAUCUCCUGCUGUCCUGGCACCACUGCUCCCCAGGCCCCACCACUGACAGCUCCCAGGGCGGACCCAGAUGUGCAGGUGAGGACUGUCUGCCAGCAGCUCUGUCCUUGCAGGGAGCAGAUGGAGAAGUUUGAGAGCCAUCAGGUGGCCAGGGAAAUCUGUGGCCACUCUGACCUGGAAUGGUGUGGUUGGGGUGGGCAUGAGACCUGGUGCCAGUUUGGGUGACUUGGGUUUGAGAGUCCAAGCCAUCCCUUUGGAGCUGGGACAGCUUAAAGUUUGUUCCUGGGUGAGGGCUGGACUUUCUGCUGGACCCACCAUGCUCCAGUUCACUGUCCUGGGGCUGCAGGGCCCAUGCAGCCUGGUUGAGCUGGUUUAGGCCUGGGGCUCUUCUGAAAAUCCCAGAAAAGGCCCAGGAGAGACUUGGAAAAGGAAAAGGAUCUGGCCCUCCACCCUACUGACCCAUUAGACACCCCGUUCCUAGAUGUGAGGCUGCGAAGUGCUUCUCUGAAGAAGCCCCAGGUGGGAGUGGGGCAGCUGACGCCUUUGUUUCCCUCUCCCCUAGUGGCAGGAUCUCUGAGUCC